CUGCGGAGGAUCAUUACAGAAUAAACUUGAUGGGUU
rnacentral:rRNA from 1 species